GUGUCAGCCGCCGCGGUAAUACGUAGGGUGCAAGCGUUAAUCGGAAUUACUGGGCGUAAAGCGUGCGCAGGCGGUUUUGUAAGCCAGACGUGAAAUCCCCGGGCUUAACCUGGGAACUGCGUUUGGAACUGCAAGGCUAGAGUGCGGCAGAGGAAGGUGGAAUUCCUGGUGUAGCAGUGAAAUGCGUAGAUAUCAGGAGGAACACCAAUGGCGAAGGCAGCCUUCUGGGCUAGCACUGACGCUCAUGCACGAAAGCGUGGGGAGCAAACAGGAUUAGAUACCCUGGUAGUCCACGCCCUAAACUAUGACGACUAGUUGUUGGGGAUUUAACAUCCUUAGUAACGCAGCUAACGCGUGAAGUCGUCCGCCUGGGGAGUACGGUCGCAAGAUUAAAACUCAAAGGAAUUGACGGGG
rnacentral:rRNA from 1 species